AAAAUAUCUCUCCUCCCUCUAAGCCUAGGUAGAAAACUAAGUUAUAAGACAAGGAUGAACACGAUAUAUGGUACUUUUUAAAAUCUGGUUCCCAAAGAAAUAAAACAUUUUAAAAAGAAUUUUAAAAUAAUGUAUUUAGCUUAUGCUGAGUAUAUAUUAGUGAGCAACUAAUUUAAAAAUAUUUAAGGAAUAAUAGUCCCCUCUGUUAUAAUAAAUUACUAUUGACCUAAUUUAUUUAUUAAGCUUCUCUUCUUAUUUGGGUAAUUAAUUCUAAGAAUUAGAACUUGUUUACACUAGUAAAUAUACUUUUAUUAUUUUCUUACUUAAAUAAGUUUUAUCAAUUUUAAAUUAAAUAUAAACUAAAUAACUUGAGAUUCUCCAAACUGUUUAACAAAGACAUAGUAAGACUGUGUCUUAUGUAUCUGCCCAAUGAAUAAUUUUUUAUGGCUUUAAAGUAGCGCAAUAAUUAGUUUAUUAAUUGUAAACCUGUAUGAAGCUAGCAUUGGUUAAUCAUGUUUAUUCUUAUCUGUUGAAUCUUAGUUAUCAGUACAAACGCUGAUAUGCUCCCCGAAGACGAUAAGACCCUAAGACCUUCACCUUGUUUGGCUGGGAUAGCCUACUUAAUAUAAUAAAGAAACCUUAAUUAUUACGAACCAAUUAUUUUGCUAUACAUAGGUACCUUAGGGAUAACAGCGCGUAAUACUUUUAGAGCUCUUAUUUAAAAGAUAUUCGUGACCUCGAUGUUGAAUUAAGUAAUAUAGUGCUGCAGAAGGUGCUAUUUUAAGUCUGUUCGACU
rnacentral:rRNA from 1 species